rnacentral:lncRNA from 1 species
AUUUUGAGAACACUAAUUACUAGUAUAAAAGUUUAACUUUAUGGAUCAAUAGAACAAUAGUAAAUGGUGGCGGCUGAAAGAAUCUCUUUCUCUCUUUCUAUCAGAAUCAAAAGUAAAUAUAAGAAAAUAAAAAAAAAAAGUGAAUUGAAGAAGGAGGUCUUUCAGCCUCUUCUUUGUGUCUCUCUCGAUUGCCUCCCUCUUA